CAGGUUGGGAUGAUUCAGACACAUCAAGUAGUAUUUCAAAGUAAGUGAUGCUAUUUUAUUCAUUAGAUUGGAAGUAAAUUAUUUUGAAGCAUUAUCAUUUAGAGAUGUUUGAUGUUAGUCUAAGGUGAUUAAAGAUAUUACAAAUAGAAAAGGAAGAGGUGAUAGAUCUUUUGUAGAUGAUGCAAACACAAUAGGUAAAUACCCAAAUGACUGUUAGAUACCUUCCUUAUGUUUCUUUUUUCACUGGCAUUGUUCUCCUAAAAUAUUGGAUGCAAACACAAUGGUAGGGAAAACACUCAACUGACUGUCAUAUACCUUUCUUGUGCUGCUUUGUUCAUUUGCAUUGUUCUCCUAAAAAAUUAACUUAAAUGUACAUUACCUUAAUCAUAUAUCUGAUCUCAAGUUGUUGUGGUCAUUAAAACUCUCAAUAAGUUGUACAGUUUGUGAAAGGAUAGACCACAUUCAUGCUCUUUAACCUUGAUCGAUUGCAGGAAAGGAGCAAUCCCUUUAGUACUCUUUUAGCUGCUAAGAUGCUAAAUUAGUUUUUCAGCAUUGUGGUGACCCUUUGUACUCUAUUUGAAGAUGUUUAAACUAGGAUACAGCAAAGUCGUGAAUAUGCGGUUGUUAGGAUUUGGAUAAGUUUCUUUUAUCAAUUUACUAGGACAUAUAAGAAUUUGUGAAUCCUUAAUUUGGUUGCUGCAAAGGAGCAAUCUUUCCGUACUUUUUAGCUGCUGAGAUGCUGAAUUAAUUUUUUAGCACUGUGGUGAACAUUUGUAUUUAAGUUGAGGAUGUUUGAAUCCAUGUUGCUCGGACUCUUGUCAUCUGGUGGUUGUCGGAUCCUUCAAAAAUAGUGUAUUUUUUAAGGUUCCGACACAGAUACGACAAUUUCAACAAAGUCUGCGCAACUUAAGAUUGAACUAUGAUACAGCCAAGUCAUGAAUACACAAUAACUAAGAUUGAUUCUUUUAUUAAUUUACUAUGACAUGUACGAAUUUGUGAAACCUUGAUUUUGUUGCAGCAAAGGAUAAUUCUUUUCAUAUUUUUUCGCUGUUGAGAUCCACUGAAUUACAUUUUCAAGAUUCUGGGUGAUCAUUUGGGACUGAGGUAUUGUUAUUGUAGUUUGUUUGGGAACUCAGACGCAAGUUUAUUAGCUUAUCCUCACCCAAGCACCUCAUCCUUUCCGGGAAGUGGCAGUUCUAGAAUUAGGCAGGUGGAAAAAUCUCUUAACAGAUUAUCCAUCUUUCUUUUCUGCUGUAUUAUCCUAUGCCACUUCUAUUCUGAUCAACUCGCGGUGUACAGUUGUAAAAGUUCUGUGACUGGUAUAGAUGGUAGAAAUGCAUAGGCUUAUAAGAGAUUUCAACAACAAAAAAAGCUUAAUACCGUGCAAAGGUUGCUUUUUUCACUUUUAUAAUUUUCCGCAUUCCCUUCCUCUUUCACAAAACUGUCUUAUACUUGAGAAAGUGGCGACAGAGAUAGCUAUCUGCUCUGUCCAAUUUGAUAGUUUCUUCUUAAUUGUCCUUUGAGUAGCAUUAUUACUCUGAUUGUAACAAGGGUUUAUUAGGAGGGGGAACCUCUUGUAAGGAGCCCAGUGAACCUCUUGCUUUUGUAGCCCAAAUUGUUUUGUGAUAUUUGCAAUGUAAUAUGAAGAAUGAACAUGUUUACUUUCCUAUUUUUUCUGUUCUCUGAUCUUCAUCUUCUUUUGUUAUAAAUAUAUUUGGAUUAUGUGAGUUUAUUAAAGUUUUAGAUAAUCCGUUAUAUGGAAGGCAUGCAAGAUUUCACUUAUUCCAUAGCUACUAGCAUCAUCAAUUUUUUAUUCAAAUUCAACAAUAUACUUAGUGAAAUCCUAUAAGUGAAGUCUGAGAGAGAAUAGAGUGUAUAUAGGCUUACCCUUGCCUUAUGAAGGUAGAAAAAGUGUUUUCGAUAAAUAAACUCCCAACUCAAACAAAGAAAAAAAACUAGGCAAUGCACCAGUAAAGUGGUCAUGCAUCAUGCAUGCUUGCUUAAAGCAAAGUGCCAAAAAAUAUAAACAGCUUUAUCUAAGUCGAGGGAACAUGAAUUAUGGACUUUACCAUUUUGGGUUAUGUUGGACAAAAUCACUUGAAAGGAAAGGUUAAACUUUUCGAAAGUAUGUCAGCUAUUAUCUGGAUAACUUUAUGUUGUUGGUACAAUCUUCUGUACGGUUUUAUUCCAACAGCUGAUUGUUAAGUAAAAUGCAGAGUCUAUAAUUUAUAAAUGGGUUCAAAAGGAGAUGAAGAUUUAUUAGAGGCGUCAUCAGGAGUACAUUAUUCUGGAUUCCAUUUAGAAGAGUCACAUACUUCAGAGAUUGAUCAACCAACUUCUACAGAUGGAAGUGUUAAGCAACCUUUUGUCAUAGGUAUGUGGAGGCGGUAAUAUAUCUCCUGUUGUUGCUACCAAACUUUAUCUGACUAAAGCUUAGAUUCAUUUUUGUGCCUGAUCCUUCUCUUGCAUGUUGCAGUGACUUUGUAUCUCAUCUUAGAGGAGUUAGUUCAGCAUUU
rnacentral:lncRNA from 1 species